rnacentral:rRNA from 1 species
UAAACGAUGUCGACUUGGAGGUUGUGGCUUCCGGAGCUAACGCGUUAAGUCGACCGCCUGGGGAGUACGGCCGCAAGGUUAAAACUCAAAUGAAUUGACGGGGGCCCGCACAAGCGGUGGAGCAUGUGGUUUAAUUCGAUGCAACGCGAAGAACCUUACCUGGUCUUGACAUCCAGGUGCUGCAUGGCUGUCGUCAGCUCGUGUUGUGAAAUGUUGGGUUAAGUCCCGCAACGAGCGCAACCCUUAUCCUUUGUUGCAACUCAAAGGAGACUGCCAGUGAUAAACUGGAGGAAGGUGGGGAUGACGUCAAGUCAUCAUGGCCCUUACGACCAGGGCUACACACGUGCUACAAUGGCGCAUACAAAGAGAAGCGACCUCGCGAGAGCAAGCGGACCUCAUAAAGUGCGUCGUAGUCCGGAUUGGAGUCUGCAACUCGACUCCAUGAAGUCGGAAUCGCUAGUAAUCGUGGAUCAGAUGCCACGGUGAAUACGUUCCCGGGCCUUGUACACACCGCCCGUCACACCAUGGGAGUGGGUUGCAAAAGAAGUAGGUUACCACUUUGUGAUUCAUGACUGGGGUGAAGUCGUAACAAGGUAACGAA